UAAGGACACAUAGAGAAGCAAUACAUCUUCCUCUUCUUGUUCAUAUGACACCUGCCAGAUAUUCACCCUCUGGCCCCAGUUCAGCAAUGUGAGCAAAAGAACAGGUAUAUUAAGAUUCACCAUUGGCAUUCCAUGGUUGUCGAAAUAUCUACAUCUGAUUUUCUUUCUUCAAAUAUGUGGUAGAUACUGGAAUUUCACUUGUUCAAAUCUGCAUCAAUCAUCUUUUGUGAAUGUCCUUACACUGGCUGUGUAUAGCACUGACAGGAAAGCUGAUUGGAUUCAUAAUAAAUGUAAAUCCAGUCUAUGCUGAAGCAGGCAUAAUCUUGAAAGGAAAAUAAUAUCACAAGAUAUCAGGUUUGACCCCUUGGGAUUAUCGUGUCAGAGAACAAGAAGAAGUCUAUUGCUUCUAACUGAAUGCCAUAGUCACCUCUUCUUGCUCUUCUCCCUUUGAUCCUGCUUCUUUCCCACCUUGGUUCAGUAAAGUUGCCUUGAGUUGAGCAGCUUUCCUGUGUCAAGCCUUUCCACCAUGAAGUUUCUGCCUUGGAGCCAGCUGAUCAUGGAUAGAAACAUCUGAAACUG